UUGAAUGAUGUGAAACCCACUGCUCGUUUCAACCACUCCACUAAUUUCACCGGGUUUCAAGGCAAACGCAGCGUCUUCAAACGGUUUUUGCAUUUCGUCUCUUCCAAAUUCGCCUCUACACAUAGUGUUAGUAAAAAUCGUUCCAGUUGAAAAUCAGACUACACUUGGCAAACCAACAAGAGCUUAUCACCAAGUGUGGCACCACCAUAUACUGUCGGUCUUGCGACUCGUAUUUAAUUACAGUAUAUCAAAAUACAUACAAUUCACCUCCGCGACGAGCGGAGCUACAAUCCGACUCUUUCAUGGCUAAAUCAUGCAUGCUUACAGAGCCACUCUUUAGCAAUUGUUCAUAGUGUUCAGCCAGCUUCCUCGCCUCCUCCUUGCUCCUAGUAAUGUGCUCCUCCUUCCAUGAGCUGGGACGACGGCUUUCUCGAUGCUUUACGAGUAAAUGGCUAGCACGAAUCUUGGGUGAAUUGCUUGCCUCGGUGGGUGUAACUGACUCCUGCAACUCGUUUGCAAUGAACUUUUUCAGGGCAGCCAUAUCAGUGGCAGCCGGAGGCUCCCAUAAAGACUCAUGCGUCUCAGUAUUAAAGAAGUAGGGACGAUUUCUGGAGCGUGAAAUCUUGACAAUCCAUGGUUUGGGUAACCCAGUAUUAGACAUUUUUUUUACCACAACGCUUCUUCAAAAAAUGGAUUCACUAAGACAGAAAAAAUCCUCAACUAUAAAUUACAAGCAAAACACGUUCAAUCUCUGCAAUUUGAAGCUUGUUUAUUUGCUUUGUUUAGAGUCA